rnacentral:rRNA from 1 species
AGUCGACGGUGACGGGGGGCUUGCUCCUCUGAUCAGUGGCGAACGGGUGAGUAACACGUGAGUAACCUGCCCUUCACUCUGGGAUAACGCUGGGAAACCGGUGCUAAUACUGGAUAUGACCUGCUCGGGCAUCCGAUGUGGGUGGAAAGAUUUAUUGGUGGAGGAUGGACUCGCGGCCUAUCAGCUUGUUGGUGAGGUAAUGGCUCACCAAGGCGACGACGGGUAGCCGGCCUGAGAGGGCGAUCGGCCACACUGGGACUGAGACACGGCCCAGACUCCUACGGGAGGCAGCAGUGGGGAAUAUUGCACAAUGGGCGAAAGCCUGAUGCAGCGACGCCGCGUGAGGGAUGAAGGCCUUCGGGUUGUAAACCUCUUUCAGCAGGGAAGAAGCGGCCGGGUUUUCUUGGUUGUGACGGUACCUGCAGAAGAAGCACCGGCUAACUACGUGCCAGCAGCCGCGGUAAUACGUAGGGUGCAAGCGUUGUCCGGAAUUAUUGGGCGUAAAGAGCUUGUAGGCGGUUUGUCGCGUCUGCUGUGAAAUUUCGGGGCUCAACCCCGAACUUGCAGUGGGUACGGGCAGACUAGAGUGUGGUAGGGGAGACUGGAAUUCCUGGUGUAGCGGUGAAAUGCGCAGAUAUCAGGAGGAACACCGAUGGCGAAGGCAGGUCUCUGGGCCACUACUGACGCUGAGAAGCGAAAGCAUGGGGAGCGAACAGGAUUAGAUACCCUGGUAGAAUCACUAGUGAAUUC